rnacentral:lncRNA from 1 species
GAGCAGGAGGGAAGGCAAUCUCUGAUGGCCAGGCUGCUCUGGUGGCUCUUCUCCCAGUGCACUGCACCCGUGUUUAAGAUCCUGUCGCGGUCAGGAAAGAACUGGGAAGCAGAGAACACAAAGGAAAACCCGUGGUUUUCUCUUAAGAAAAGGUUUCUUCACGUUUUGCUGCGUAUCCACGCGUGCGGGGUGAGUCCGUGACACAGCUCACGGCAGAGCAGGAGCUCACAGUCGGCAGGCAGCCCGGACCCG